rnacentral:rRNA from 1 species
UUACGAAAGUCCGAUGGAGCAAUACCAUGUCAACGAAGAAAGUCUUUUUGAUUGUAAAGUUCUUUUAUGAGGGAUAACAACUGAUAGUACCUCAUGAAUAAGUGACAGCAAACUAUGUGCCAGCAGCUGCGGUAAUACAUAGGUCGCAAGCAUUAUUCGGAUUUAUUGGGCGUAAAGCAAGCGCAGGCGGAUGUGUAAGUUCUGUGUUAAAAGUAGCUACUUAAUAGUUGUUUGCACCGAAUACUACAUGUCUAGAAUGUGGUAGGAAGUUUUGGAAUUAAACAUGGAGCGGUGGAAUGUGUAGAUAUGUUUAAGAACACCGGAGGCGAAGGCGAAAACUUAGGCCAUAAUUGACGCUUAGGCUUGAAAGUGUGGGGAGCAAAUGGGAUUAGAUACCCCAGUAGUCCACACCGUAAACGAUGGGUAUGAGGUAUUGGGGUUUGAGCCUCAGUGCUGUAGAAA